rnacentral:rRNA from 1 species
AAAUUGAAGAGUUUGAUCAUGGCUCAGAUUGAACGCUGGCGGCAGGCCUAACACAUGCAAGUCGAACGGUAACAGGAAGCAGCUUGCUGCUUUGCUGACGAGUGGCGGACGGGUGAGUAAUGUCUGGGAAACUGCCUGAUGGAGGGGGAUAACUACUGGAAACGGUGGCUAAUACCGCAUAACGUCGCAAGACCAAAGAGGGGGACCUUCGGGCCUCUUGCCAUCAGAUGUGCCCAGAUGGGAUUAGCUUGUUGGUGAGGUAACGGCUCACCAAGGCGACGAUCCCUAGCUGGUCUGAGAGGAUGACCAGCCACACUGGAACUGAGACACGGUCCAGACUCCUACGGGAGGCAGCAGUGGGGAAUAUUGCACAAUGGGCGCAAGCCUGAUGCAGCCAUGCCGCGUGUAUGAAGAAGGCCUUCGGGUUGUAAAGUACUUUCAGCAGGGAGGAAGGUGUUGCGGUUAAUAACCGCAGCAAUUGACGUUACCCGCAGAAGAAGCACCGGCUAACUCCGUGCCAGCAGCCGCGGUAAUACGGAGGGUGCAAGCGUUAAUCGGAAUUACUGGGCGUAAAGCGCACGCAGGCGGUCUGUCAAGUCGGAUGUGAAAUCCCCGGGCUCAACCUGGGAACUGCAUUCGAAACUGGCAGGCUUGAGUCUUGUAGAGGGGGGUAGAAUUCCAGGUGUAGCGGUGAAAUGCGUAGAGAUCUGGAGGAAUACCGGUGGCGAAGGCGGCCCCCUGGACAAAGACUGACGCUCAGGUGCGAAAGCGUGGGGAGCAAACAGGAUUAGAUACCCUGGUAGUCCACGCCGUAAACGAUGUCUACUUGGAGGUUGUGCCCUUGAGGCGUGGCUUCCGGAGCUAACGCGUUAAGUAGACCGCCUGGGGAGUACGGCCGCAAGGUUAAAACUCAAAUGAAUUGACGGGGGCCCGCACAAGCGGUGGAGCAUGUGGUUUAAUUCGAUGCAACGCGAAGAACCUUACCUGGUCUUGACAUCCACAGAACUUUCCAGAGAUGGAUUGGUGCCUUCGGGAACUGUGAGACAGGUGCUGCAUGGCUGUCGUCAGCUCGUGUUGUGAAAUGUUGGGUUAAGUCCCGCAACGAGCGCAACCCUUAUCCUUUGUUGCCAGCGGUCCGGCCGGGAACUCAAAGGAGACUGCCAGUGAUAAACUGGAGGAAGGUGGGGAUGACGUCAAGUCAUCAUGGCCCUUACGACCAGGGCUACACACGUGCUACAAUGGCGCAUACAAAGAGAAGCGACCUCGCGAGAGCAAGCGGACCUCAUAAAGUGCGUCGUAGUCCGGAUUGGAGUCUGCAACUCGACUCCAUGAAGUCGGAAUCGCUAGUAAUCGUGGAUCAGAAUGCCACGGUGAAUACGUUCCCGGGCCUUGUACACACCGCCCGUCACACCAUGGGAGUGGGUUGCAAAAGAAGUAGGUAGCUUAACCUUCGGGAGGGCGCUUACCACUUUGUGAUUCAUGACUGGGGUGAAGUCGUAACAAGGUAACCGUAGGGGAACCUGCGGUUGGAUCACCUCCUUACCUGAAAGAA